UACGGGGGGGGCAAGCGUUGUUCGGAAUUACUGGGCGUAAAGGGCUCGUAGGCGGUUUGUCGCGUCGGGAGUGAAAACCCAGGGCUUAACUCUGGGCUUGCUUUCGAUACGGGCAUGACUGGAGUUCGGCAGGGGAGACUGGAAUUCCUGGUGUAGCGGUGAAAUGCGCAGAUAUCAGGAGGAACACCGGUGGCGAAGGCGGGUCUCUGGGCCGAUACUGACGCUGAGGAGCGAAAGCGUGGGGAGCGAACAGG
rnacentral:rRNA from 1 species